GGAAGGCUAAUCCUCCCAGGGUGAGUCGGGAGCUAAGACGAGGCCGAGAGGCGUAGUCGAUGCACAACCGGUUGAUAUUCCGGUACCACUGUGAGCACGACCAGGCUCAACCAUUGUUGCUAAGGGGAUGCUAGGAGCCCGUAAAAAGGCACCUAGAGGAACCGACCCACAAUGGAGCGGCCAGCAAUGCGGGGACGCAGGAAGGUAGGUGAACCCACCCGAUGGUAGAGGUGGGGUAAGUAUGUAGGGCGGGUCCCAGGAAAAUCCGGUACCCACUAAGCCUGAGACACGACGCCGACUCGAUUAAGAGGAAGUCAUUGAUCCUAUGCUGCCAAGAAAAGCCGCUAGCGAGUUCUCACGGUGCCCGUACCCCAAACCAACACAGGUGGAUAGGUAGAGAAUACCAAGGCGAUUGGGAGAACUGUGGUUAAGGAACUCGGCAAAUUGCAUCCGUAACUUCGGGAGAAGGAUGACCUCAUACAGGUGAAGGAACUUGCUUCCUGAGCUUGAAGAGGUGUCACAAACCAGAGGGAAGCGACUGUUUACUAAAAACACAGCAGCGUGCUAAGCCGUAAGGCGCUGUAUACGCUGUGACGCCUGCCCGGUGCCGGAAGGUUACGGGGACGGGUUAGCCCUUUAGGGCGAAGCUCUGAACCUAAGCCCCGGUAAACGGCGGCCGUAACUAUAACGGUCCUAAGGUAGCGAAAUUCCUUGUCGGGUAAGUUCCGACCUGCACGAAUGGCGUAACGACUUCCCUACUGUCUCAACCACAGACCCAGCGAAAUUGAAGUACGAGUAAAGAUGCUCGUUAGCUACAGAAGGACGGAAAGACCCCGUGGACCUUUACUACAACUUGGUAUUGAUGUUUGACCUUCACUGUGCAGGAUAGGUGGGAGACUUUGAAGCGCAUGCGCCAGUGUGCGUGGAGUCAUCCUUGAAAUACCACCCUGUGUAUGUUGAACAUCUAACCUCGAACCGUUAUCCGGUUUAGGAACAGUGCCAGGCGGGUAGUUUGACUGGGGCGGUCGCCUCCCAAAGAGUAACGGAGGCGCCCAAAGGUUCCCUCAGCCUGGUUGGCAAUCAGGCAUCGAGUGCAAUGGCAGAAGGGAGCUUGACUGCGAGACCUACAAGUCGAGCAGGGUCGAAAGACGGGCAUAGUGAUCCGGCGGUUGCGUGUGGAAGCGCCGUCGCUCAACGGAUAAAAGGUACCCCGGGGAUAACAGGCU
rnacentral:rRNA from 1 species